rnacentral:lncRNA from 1 species
UAUCCUCUAUCUGCCUAUUUACUGUCAUUUCUGUUAGCAUGCUCUAUGGUUGCAUUCAAUUUCUUUGCAGGUGUCAGAGGCGUGGCGAUGGCGUGUGAGGAGAUAAAGCGGCGUGCAUGGACAAAGGCGGCGGUCAACGGCGCCCUAGGGUUUCUCCUUUGUUGCUGCAACAAAUUGUUUGUGGGCUAGGGUUGUAUUGGGCCUAAGGUAUUUUAUUUGGGCUGGCAAAAUUGGGUUUUUU